UUGGAUUAUUAUUAUUAUUAUUAUGGCCAAAUUUGAGCAGGUUCAAAUGCAUGAUCUGACGCUAUUUAGUAGUCCAAACUAUCAGCUUGUAUGUGUUGCACAACUAGGUUUUGGCAUCAGUUACAUUUUGUUUUCAGGUUUGGCAAUUUAAAAACAAAUUGAAUUCGGUUUUAUGAUAACUGAUAUUAGUUGAUUAGUUCGAUUUGGUUCGAUCCGGAUAAUUUUGAAGUUUUGGUUUUAAGUUAUUAUGGUUCGGAUCCGAACUAACCGAAUGCUCAGGCCUAAAUAGAACUUGCCCUUUUUCAUUUCUGUUUCUGCGUUCGUCUUUUGUGUUUGUGUGUGUGUUGGAGAGGAGGGGGUGUGG
rnacentral:misc_RNA from 1 species